UGGGGAAUUUUGGACAAUGGGCGAAAGCCUGAUCCAGCCAUGCCGCGUGAGUGAAGAAGGCCUUCGGGUUGUAAAGCUCUUUCAGGUGGAAAGAAAACGCAUAGGUUAAUACCUUGUGCGGAUGACGGUACCAUCAGAAGAAGCACCGGCUAACUACGUGCCAGCAGCCGCGGUAAUACGUAGGGCGCGAGCGUUAAUCGGAAUUACUGGGCGUAAAGCGUGCGCAGGCGGUUUCGUAAGACAGAUGUGAAAUCCCCGGGCUCAACCUGGGAACUGCGUUUGUGACUGCAUAGCUAGAGUACGGUAGAGGGGGGUGGAAUUCCGGGUGUAGCGGUGAAAUGCGUAGAUAUGCGGAGGAACACCGAUGGCGAAGGCGGCCUCCUGGGCAAGGACUGACGCUCAUGCGCGAAAGCGUGGGGAGCAAACA
rnacentral:rRNA from 1 species